UACGUAGGGUGCGAGCGUUAAUCGGAAUUACUGGGCGUCAAGCGUGCGCAGGCGGUGAUGUAAGACAGAUGUGAAAUCCCCGGGCUCAACCUGGGAACUGCAUUUGUGACUGCAUCGCUGGAGUGCGGCAGAGGGGGAUGGAAUUCCGCGUGUAGCAGUGAAAUGCGUAGAUAUGCGGAGGAACACCGAUGGCGAAGGCAAUCCCCUGGGCCUGCACUGACGCUCAUGCACGAAAGCGUGGGGAGCAAACAGG
rnacentral:rRNA from 1 species